UGUGUUUUUUCUCAUCUCCUUUUUUCCUAAUAAUUUUUAAAUUGUAUUAAUAAUUUACCAAAGUACUAGUCUGAGAAGAAUUAGAUUUAAAAAAUCCAAACAGAACAAAAACCCCAAAUCUGGUCCUUCAGCACAUGUCACUAGGGAAGCCUGGCUCUCAUGACUCUUUUAGGCUGUGGUAAGGCUCCCCGCCCUCAUCCAAGGGGGGCUGGCGGCGGGGAGAAGAGCUCCACUCUGUGAAGCCUGCGUGAGCAACUGCACUGUGCCUGUGGUUCCCCUGAACCUGGGCCCCGCAUUGUAAGUAAACCCAUCUUGAAUCAUCCUAAUUUGAUUCUGUCAUCUGCUUCCCGUUGGGACCCCAAUUGACACAAGGUCACCUGAGAGUGAUGUAGAACCACUGAGGAAGUUUACAGAGAAAUGACAGGAGAUUGUGACAGCAAGAGUGAGGUAUGGGUUGGGAAGAAGACUCCAGACAGAGUGACUGAUGCCAGGGCCAGCUAACAUCAAGGUGGGGAGGGCUUGAACUUAACGCUGUGGCACUAAGGGAAAGACAAAAUUCAUAGAUAUUCAGGAUACUGUAUCAGUCAGGAAAACAGAAACCACUGUCUAAAUAGCUUAAGCAAAAAGGAAGUAAACACCGCAGAAGGUGACAUACUAUGACCUGUGAGCCAAGUGCAGUGUGCUGCCUGUUUUUAUAAAUAAAAUUUUAUUGGAACAUGGCCAUGUGUAUUUGUUUAUGUGAUGUUUUUGGGUGCUUUUGUACUACAGAGUUGAGCAGUUGUGACCAUAAGUGACCUGCAAAGCCUAAAAUAUUUACUAUCUGGUCCUUGACAGAAAAAGUUUGCUGACUGCUGGAACACUGGGAAGUAGGUGCUUACAGUACUCUAGAAACAAGAAUCAUGGAAAACCACUGUUGAUUUUCAGAUCAGGGGGCUGCAGAAAUCGCAGGAAUACCGGCCACAGUGAUCUCGGCUGUUGGUCAGCCACAUCAAAUAGGCGAUCGCAGGAGAUAGCCUAGAAGCCUACGCUAGCCUCAUGUCCACAGAUGCAGACACCCACGAUUGCUGGAAGGGGAAGGGCUUCUCCUCUUCUGCCUUCCCAUCUGGCAGGAGUGCCCCUCAUCGGCUGACUCUAAGUGAAAAUGAUGUAUUUUUCCAGAUUUUCCUCUUGAUACAGAAGUGAGCGUAGAAGGGACAGGGAUAGGGAAGCCCAGGGCUUUGGGAUGACUGGUGAGGACAGGGAUUUGGAGGUUGGGAUGACUCCCAGGCUUGGAUGAUGGUGAUGAAUUGUGCCAUCCAUGGAGAGGGAGAGGAGCAGAAAAGAGGAAGAUUCUGGGUACAAGAAGGGGCCCUGUCAGGAGGUGAGAUUCCCAAACUCUUGCCAACUGUGCAGUGGAGUCACAGCCAUCUGCCCCAGUGGCGUUGCACUCAGAUUUCUUCAUGGGGUAAAACCAUAAAGUACUUUUGACAUAAACAAAAUUGGUAUUCCAAGACUGGAAUUAAUAGAUCUUGCCAUGGCUGAUGAUAUCCAGGUUGUAAGCUAAAGCAGUUAUAAAUCUUCCUUUUUGUAGGUUUAAAGGAGACCUUCCAGGAAUUGGAAAACAUUGGCAAUCGCCCUGUUGGCAUGCAUAGUCCUGUGAACGCCAGAGAGGCCUAAAGCACAGUAACAAAAACAUAAUAAGAAGGUGGCCGUCUGGAAACCAGGAAGAGGGACCUCAUCAGAAUUCGACCAUGCUGGCACCCUGAUCUUGGACUUUCAACCUCCAGAACUGUAGACUUACUUCACAUGUUGACAAAGUGGGCCCUGAAAGGGUUGGACUUACCUGGACCUUAGAGCCCACAGUCCCAGAAUCUAUGCCUCUUUUCUGUUACAGUAUUAAUAAAAAUCUGUUGAAGGCUUUGAUGAUCCAAGCUUGUGACCUUCCCUGAACCAAUCAUGUGCCCAUUCUCAGGAGGGAGGAUUCAGUCAGCUGGGUGUGAGCCACAUGGACUGAGAAUGGGGGUUGGUGGUUCUCCAGUGAGGUGCUGGGCUUAAAAAUCUACAUUUGCUGUAAGGAUAGGAAGGUGAACACAUCCUGUCUUCUCCAACAUCAGUGUUAAUUUAUUCACCCAUUCUACAGUUAUGAAUUGUAUGGGGCUUGGUUGGCCGCUGUGGUUCCUCACGUGAAUAAUCUGAGCUCCAGCCUUGGAGAAGCUUCCAGUCUAAGGGAGCCCGAGUUCACAGAGGGGGCUCCCUUGGACACUGGCACAGCAACCUGCGGGCCAGGAAGAAGACCCGCUGCUCCUCCAGGGAGGAUGGGUUUUUGGCCUGUUGACACCUCGGCUUCCCGCCAGCACCAGCUGCCAAGAGCCCUUUCAGCGUCUCAGGGCCUCUCAGUGGGGCCUGGGAAGGAGCCCCGGCAAGCGGAGGGCGCGCCCCGUUCGUUCCUGGAGCCCGGGCUGUGGGCGCCCCCUGCCGAAAACAGGCGCUCCUGCGUGCGGCGGAACCCGGCCGGGUCCCUGUCCUUCCGCAUCUUUUUUAUAUACAGUGCCUUGAAACGCUUGGUUUGACCAGGCAGAAGUAACGCCCCGCUGUGACCGUACCCCCUGUGCCAGGUCAGCGUCGGAUAAAGGAGUCCGAACUCUCCGUCGCGGGACCCCUGUCCGUCUCUCCAGCCACCUUCCGAUCACCUUACGGCGCGCCACAAGGACCCGCAGUCUCCCCAGGGGCCGCGCGCCGGCUCUGGACACCUUUGCACGCGCUUUCCGUCUGCCGGAUGCCCCCUCCCCGCCGCUCCGCGAGCUCCGAGCCAUCCUUCCAGACGCCUUCCGAGAGCGAACUUCCAACAACACGAGAGAACGAUUCCUCUUCUGCGCCCUCAGGGCAUCGUCCAAGUCCAGCUCACGUCCCCCCACGGCCCCCGGUCCACCCCCAGGGCCCCGAGCCCCUCCAGCGCCCCCUGUCGCUGCCCCACCGCGGCGCCGGGUCCCCCCACGGCCCCGGUCCUCUCCACGCCGAGCCCGGGAGACGGGGGCUUUGCUUUUCCGUCUGAGGCGCUCAAUAAAUAUUUCUUAAACAAAGGCCUGCGUACGUGAGAUAACGUAAAGGGAAGGGCUUGC